GACGAACGCUGGCGGCGUGCUUAACACAUGCAAGUCGAACGGAAAGGCCCUGCUUUUGUGGGGUUCUCGAGUGGCGAGCGGGUGAGUAACACGUGAGUAACCUGCCCUUGACUUUGGGAUAACUUCAGGACACUGGGGCUAAUACCGGAUAGGAUCUCCUGCUGCAUGGUGGGGGUUGGAGAGUUUUGGCGGGUGGGGGUGGACUCGCGGCUUCUCCGCUUGUUUGUGGGGUAGUGGGUUACCCAGGGUUUGACGGGUAGCCGGGCCGAGAGGGGGAACCGGCAAAAUGGGGCUGGGGAUAGGCCCAGGACUCCUACGGGAGGCAGCAGUGGGGAAUAUGGCACAAUGGGCGGAGGCCUGUGGCAGAAAGCCCGGGGGCGGGAUGACGGCUUUGGGGUGGUAAACGGCUUCGGCCUUUGACGAAGCGUGAGUGACGGUAAUGGGUAAAGAAGCACCGGCUAACUACGUG
rnacentral:rRNA from 1 species